AGCGCAGCCAACAUUCGGAUUUGACACCAGGCCCUCGGCCAAUCCGAGAGGGCUUUUCACCUGCCAUCGCUUCCUCCGCCAAUCAGACGGCGUGUUUGGGCCGAGAGCCCUCCCCGGCCAAUCGGGAGCCGGCUGAGCCACUUAGUUAAUGAUGCAGCAGUACAGGGAAGACUAUCACAUGUGAGCUGGAAGGCUGCCAACAUGGAGACACGGAGAGAGCAAGGUAAACAACUUUCCAACGCCAAAAUGAUGACAUUUAAUCCCUAAAUGCUAGCUUCCCGUCUCGACUCAUCCUUAACCCCUUUCAGCUGGUGUGGAAGCGUCUGGAAGGCACCGUGUACCUGUCCCCAGUGCUUUUAAAAACUGGCCGACGUGCCCUGCAAUGAUCACUGCGUCACCGUUUGCCACUUUCCGAACUACGCAGUGGCAAAGCCCCGAGCCCAGCUCACAGGGUGGCUGUUAACCCCUGCACCCAGCCCUGCCUCCACGCCAGCCCUCGGGGGGACGGCAGGGAAUAAAAAGCCCGAGCAAAACACGAAAACAGCAGUCUGCAAAGUUGUCAUCUCUCCCCCACGACUACUGCCCUCCUCUGCAUUACAGCAAUGCCGGCAAGAGUGGCAUUCGUACAACCUGUACCGAUGUUCCAUUGAGAAAACAGCUCUGACGCAGAGCAGAGCAAUCAUACCCAGCCGAAAUAAUAAUGAAGGCACUUGGGGAGCUGAACUUAGGGACGAUGGGGGAAGGGGACGCCCUGCAAAGCAUUACAAAACGUAGAUGCAGCUCCAGCCCCAUCCUGAUCAAAGGGUACGUACGUGGGAAAGACGAACCGGACCGAGGAGCUCUGCCCGUGCACCAGCUGCGCAGCGUUCAGCCCUCUGCUUGCUGUGUAGCGCCGCAGAAUAGAAGGUUCCAGAAUUUUCCUUUCCGUUAACCCUUUCGGUGUCUGCCCACUCUCCCUCCCCGCGGGAUUAAGCGCGCCGGGUCUCCAGCAUCGUCAACGGGCGAAGCCUCCUACGCCAACCGAGCCCAGAUAUGUUCUCUAAAUGACACUGUCUGGUGUCAGGAGCUCCGUCCCUGGUGUUGCGUCUGAAGAGCCUGAGCUAUUUUGGGAUUUGUCUGUACUACACUGAAAAUGACACCUGUUACACACAGGCAUAAAUGAGAAGAAUUGCAAGCUCCUGGUUUCUCAGAUACAGUUCUGCCACGGAAAAAAGAUAGGAGCUGGGGGUGUGGGAGGGCAGCCCUGGCUCUCAGCGUGGGGUGAGGAACUGACCCUUGUGUAGUCAGACAGCAGUACAGGGAGUGCAUGAGGCUUGUUGCAUCUGAUGCAGACCUCCCUGUGACCAAGAGCAGUAGUGCUUGAUCAUCGAAACGCUGCAAGAUGGGGUUUCAUACAUGACCAAACCCAUGGGACUUCAAGCCUUACAGAUCUGCUUUGUGGCCAAAGCUGCAAGCGUUAACUGUUUCAGUUAAUUGUAAGAGUGCUUCAGCUACUUAAAUGAGUCACUCAGCAGUGAUGCUCUGAAGUAGGCCAGCGUUUUGUGCAAGGUUACGCAGUUGGUUUCCGUUACCCCUGAGUUAUCUCAGAAGCUCAACCACCACACAGAGGCAGAGCGGAUUUCCGUGUUCCCCAUUGCUGUGUCUGCCUGCAGCCGAUCUGCAGUGCCCCAGGGAGGUGUCAGCAGCGUGCAGACCACCCCGCAGCCCCCAGGCACUGAGCAUGGCAGUGGGAUGGACAGAGCCUGAGAAGUGGGAUGGCUGAUGGGCAUGCUUGGCUCCCAGCAACGCUGGUAUAUUAAGAAAGUAAAACAGAGGUUUGGCUUAGUUCAAAUGGUAUGCUUUUGGUUGCUUUCAAGGGAAGAGCAGUGUUUAUUUAAUGGGUUGCUUUUGUUUGAAAAUGACCAGCCGUGGGACAUUUCUGUCUUUACCUGAUCAUAAAGCAUUUACUCUGUGGAGGCACUUCAGCUCCCAAGGAGGAUCAAAGCCACUGUGCCCUGUGAAGCGCUCAGGUUUAUUGCUAUCCGGAUGAUUUUCAUUAGUGCAUGUCAGAGGAAUGGCUUCUGGAGUGUUUGCAGUGAUUCCUGGCUGUGAUGAGCUCAACCACCAUCGCUGUGACACACGUCUUUGCCAGCCCAGCGUGUGCUCACUGCGGUCCCAUCCAACCACAGAGCAGGUUUCCUGUUUCACAUGGGGACACCAAGGCUGUGAAUGGACGGAGGGUCGCUGUGCUCAGCCCCCAGCCCUGGAAGGCAUCUGAGAGCCCAGCUGACCAGCAGACCUCACCGAGGUGAGACCUCCCCCUUCCUGCCCGUGCUCUGCAGGAAUAACCCUGCGCUGUCACUGUCCGGGCUGUUGUUGCAUUCCUGCUGGCUUUGCUGCAUGCAAGUCUUGUCUGAGUUUUGUACCUUCCUGUUGUCCUUGAAAUUGGGAUUGUAAAUUAUUUUGGCCAGCAGUACACUGGUUUUGCUUGUCCAGCACUGAGCUGCUCUGGCCUCUUAGUUAAGGAUUCUCGCCACUUCUAAAAAUAAGUAAUUAUGAGAUAUUAUCUCCUUAAAAUACUUGUUAAAAAGCGGAGGCAAGAAGACGCUCCUUUCCCAUCCAUUUUCUCCUCAAACUACCAAUUUAUUUUUUUUAAUUUGCUUUAAAUGGUGCUCUUUCGAUCUGUUCUCUUCUGCAGCCAUUCAUACAGCAGGAGAGCACAACAGCCUCGAGGUUAGGAUGCGUACUUUCCACUCACACAACCAGAAUCAUUGGAAGGCCACAAGGAAGUUCUAAAAUCCAAGCUACCAUUAAGAAAACAGAAAUUAAGCUCAAAAAUAUUUUUAUGGAAGAGCCCUGGUUACUUUUCCCAGCUGGGAACUAUUUUGCAAACAAACCAUGAUUAGAAGUGGAACUUUUCUAUAUUGUUUUACUCCAAGGAUAACACAGAUAUUUUCAUUUUUCAAUAUGUUUUUGGUUUCCUUAUUUGACCAAUUCUCAUUGGUCGUCUUAACCCAACAGUAGAUUGAUUUCCCUUUCCAGAAUGGGAGACAUUUGUUUUCAACGAUUCCUUCGGAUAAUCCGCAAAGUAGAAAACAAAACAUUAAACAUUACAAAACAAACCAGAUGAAAAUACUUUCAGCUUUGCUCAUGUUCCUGCCAACUAUUUUUCUUUAAAAAAACAAAACAACACCAACCAGCCCCUUCUCAGCCCGUGCACCAACAACUGUAUCGUUUUACUCCUUUAAAGGGGAAGGCAUGGCUGAGGAUGAGCUCUGCAGUGGCCAAGCUCUGAGUUUAAGCCUCCAAUCCAGCAUCUAGUGCUAUUCCUGCCCAAAGGACAAGGCAGUAAGGGUAUAUUCUAGCAAAGGUAUGAAUUUUUAAGGCUUCCUUGAACGAGUAUUUUGAAUAGCAAACCAAAGAUCAGCCAUAUUAUUAAGGGAUUCAUAGAAUUCACCCAAUUUAUUUGCCCAAACCACUCCUUUUUUUCCCCCUUAUUGUCAUUUUGGGCUUCUUACAGCCAGCCCAGGAAAAGGAGGCAUUUAACACAUCAAAAAGCUGAGAGUGGUAUUUCCAGCAGGCCUCUGCCUCCUCAUUUAUACCUGUGAGCGUGCAGUUCUGUACAGUUCUCUCUUUGGAAGGCAGCACUGCCUCAGUGCACUGUAAUGUGCUGAAAACAGCCUGGCAGAACCUCUCCUUCUGAGGCCUUUGUGCUGCCAUCCACUGCUGCGUUCUCUGAGCAGGUUGCUGUAAAAGAUAAAUAGCAGAGUCCCAAAGUGAUUUAAUGGAGUUUCCAUAACCUUCUGUCAGUAGAAGCACUGCUUGGCAGAGGAACUUAGAGUUUUCUUUCAACUUUAACUCACUCCAGGCUUCUCUUACCCCUUCAUUUGACAGGUUUUUUCCCAGACUGGAAGGUUUCCACCAAGUCAUGAAGAUGGUUGUGUUUGGGAUGGUCCGGUGGAUCCUGUGCCUCGUGUCAGCUCUGUCGUUUGGGGAAGCCCCUACAGGUGAAUCUGUGGCAAGGUAGAAGGUCCAUGGUUCUCAUAAGGAAGUGAAGGAGUUGCAAAAUGGGAGCUUCUGCAGAAAAGUGUCUUCUGGCACUAGCUGUGCCCCAUUCCUACCAUCAAUAAGCCUUGGGUGAAAAGAGGGAGGUGCUCCAGGGGGACUUGGGAAAGCAGACUGGAUGUGACAGUGAAAAAUAAGGCUAUUGGAGGCACACAGCCAUGAGCCAGGAAUGGCUGAGCCCUGAGUCCCACAGGGACUCCCUCCAUAGGUCCGCCUAGAGGAGCACCAGGCUCCCACGGGUUCACUUUCAGCUGCUGAGAGCCAUUCUAUCCUUAGCACUGCCCUCCCCAGAGCUGCCACGAAUGUGUUCUGCACUGUGAGUCCAGAGAUCCACAGCUGCAGCUCUGGAGUGGGAGCUUUCCUUGGCAGCUCUGGGUGAGACGUGGGCGAGGGCACCAGCGGAAGGAGCCCCGUUACGCCCUGACCCGUGUGAGCACACGUCUGUUUCUGCGCAGCCUCCCUCGCAGACCAGCCGAAAUCUGGGUUAUAUAAUGCCACUGCUGCCUCGAAACAGGGAGGUUAAAAUGAGGUCGUCCAAGAUGGGAGCUGCCUGCAGCCUGCAGCCGCCUCGGGAGGACGAUCCGCUGCCUGCGCCGAGCCCUGCACGCAGGGGAGCACUGCAACAUAAACAUACAGAACCAUAGGUCAGGAUGCUGGAAGUCUCCAGAGCGCUCACGGUGUGGAAUCAGGCCCAUUUCUUUAUUUGCAUCUCCCUGUUUACGUGACGAACUGUGCUGAGCAGGCAGCGUGACGGGCUGCGGUCACAGGGCACUGCAGAGCUGCGGGGUGCCAGAUCCACACAGCACAGAGCUCUGUGCCACAGUCAACCCCAGGUUUUACCCUUUUUAAGCAUGUUUUAAGGGUGCAAGGUCUACAUUAUUCCUUCCAUCAUUGCUUUAUUUGCAGUAUGCUGUGGAAAGGCCAUCGCUCCAAGGGGAUCCACGUAAGAAAGUAUACAACUGUAAUAGAAAAAGCAAGAAUUCUGUUGCAUUAAAGCAGAUAUUCUUUUUCCAGAAUACUAAUGCAAUUCCUCCAGAACAAAGAGUGGAAGCUUCCUCCUGUAAGUGCAUUUCACAGAGACCACAAGGUGGGAAACAUGGGGCUGUUUGAGGGGAGCUGCUUGGGAUGAGCACAUCAAUGAGUUCAGCACUGGGCAUUGGGUGAUUCCAUGACUGGAGGGCCACUAAAACCAACAUGCUGCUGCAAACAAAGAGACAAAAGUCACAUUACCAGGAGCACAUGAGUUUGAGGAAGACCUACUCCCUCCUAACAGCAUGUGAAAACACCUGAUUUCCCAUUGUCAUGGUAAGCCUUUCCUUCAAAGCACUCCUAAUUUGUUUCCUGAUCCUCCAGCUUCUUGGCUGGUGCCAGAACAGAGCAGUGAGUGCUGGAGAGUUGUUGGCAGGACAGCAGCUGGGGAACAGUCUUUGUCUUUGACAGCAAGCGAUGGACAGUGCUUCUGUCCCACUGGGGGGAAUUUCUGCAUCACCAUCACUAAACUGGAUACAUGUGGGAUGAUUGCUGACCACAGAAAGAAGCCGAAGACGAACCACCUACCUGCUGAAGGCAGAGGAUCAGCGCUGUACCA
rnacentral:lncRNA from 1 species